rnacentral:rRNA from 1 species
AUUGAACGCUGGCGGCAUGCCUUACACAUGCAAGUCGAACGGUAGAGUAGCAAUACUCGAGAGUGGCGAACGGGUGAGUAAUAUAUCGGAACGUGCCCAGUCGUGGGGGAUAACGUAGCGAAAGCUACGCUAAUACCGCAUACGAUCUAUGGAUGAAAGCGGGGGAUCGCAAGACCUCGCGCGAUUGGAGCGGCCGAUAUCAGAUUAGGUAGUUGGUGAGGUAAAGGCUCACCAAGCCGACGAUCUGUAGCUGGUCUGAGAGGACGACCAGCCACACUGGGACUGAGACACGGCCCAGACUCCUACGGGAGGCAGCAGUGGGGAAUUUUGGACAAUGGGCGCAAGCCUGAUCCAGCAAUGCCGCGUGCAGGAUGAAGGCC